UGGGGAAUAUUGGACAAUGGGCGCAAGCCUGAUCCAGCCAUACCGCGUGGGUGAAGAAGGCCUUCGGGUUGUAAAGCCCUUUUGUUGGGAAAGAAAUCCAGCCGGCUAUACUGUCGGAUGACGGUACCCAAAGAAUAAGCACCGGCUAACUUCGUGCCAGCAGCCGCGGUAAUACGAAGGGUGCAAGCGUUACUCGGAAUUACUGGGCGUAAAGCGUGCGUAGGUGGUCGUUUAAGUCCGUUGUGAAAGCCCUGGGCUCAACCUGGGAACUGCAGUGGAUACUGGGCGACUAGAGUGUGGUAGAGGGUAGCGGAAUUCCUGGUGUAGCAGUGAAAUGCGUAGAGAUCAGGAGGAACAUCCAUGGCGAAGGCAGCUACCUGGACCAACACUGACACUGAGGCACGAAAGCGUGGGGAGCAAACA
rnacentral:rRNA from 1 species